rnacentral:rRNA from 1 species
UACGGAGGGUGCAAGCGUUAUCCGGAUUUAUUGGGUUUAAAGGGUCCGUAGGCGGACUCAUAAGUCAGUGGUGAAAUCCUGCAGCUCAACUGUAGAACUGCCAUUGAUACUGUGAGUCUUGAAUUUGGUUGAAGUGGGCGGAAUAUGACAUGUAGCGGUGAAAUGCUUAGAUAUGUCAUAGAACACCGAUUGCGAAGGCAGCUCACUAAGCCUGGAUUGACGCUGAUGGACGAAAGCGUGGGUAGCGAACAGG